CUGAGCCCCACACAGCCCUCACAGCCCCGAACUCCCGAGCUUCCAUCAUGCGUCCAGCCCGGCUCCUUCGCUCUGCUCAGGGACUCUCCCAGGAUACAACAACGGAGCAAAGUGAAAGGGGUCACUGUGACCAGGGCUCACUACCUUUUGGAAAAAGCAGCAUGAUUGUCCAGCUGAUCCAUGGGUUAAUUUGAGAAAGACAUUCCUCAGAGUCCAAGAACCUUCUCCAGACCUUCCUCAGCUAAGAAGGAAUCAGAAGACAGAGCUGGCUCUGUGCUGUGUUUCAGCAGGCAUGCCUACAAACAAGCACCUCCUCUCCCUGCUCCAUACUGUGUGGAUCACUGCUAACUGGCAGAUUGGAUUGAAGAGAAUUCUUCCAGAUGCUGCUAGUUAGUGUCACAAGUGACACUUCACUAGUGUCAGUGAUGUUUUUGUGAAGCAGCUUCCAAAUCGCGAACUUCUUCCAUGAUACAUGUUGAGCUGAUGACAGACAUUUUGAACUUUGUUUUUUGGGGUGAGGUUUGUGGCAGAGGCAGGUGGUUUCUGUCUGGGAAAUCUAUUCAUGCACUAGGAGCACUUAGAAAAUGCAAGCCCUUCUGCAGCUAUGCCUGGCCCACUGGCUAACACUGCUGGCUGUGGCAGGGCACCAUGAAUCUCAGGGUUUUAAAGCCACAUUUCCAUUUCACAGUCCUUGGGAUUUCAUCUUUGAAUUCUACCAGGAAAUCCAUACACUGAUCUCACUUUUGGCACUGUUAAACUCUGAGCCAUUUACUUGGCCAAAGUAGGAGUGACAAAAGGACAGUAAAAGAAGCUGUUAAUAUAAGCAGUAUUUUAGCUAUUUAAAUUUAAUAAAGGAUGUCAAACAAAACAACAUCUUAGUGCAAAGUUUUGCUUCUGUAACAGAUUAGGAAAAUGUAGGUUUUAAUGAUGUUGACCAAGCACAGUUCUUAGGACUUGUUCCAUUGCUCCCUGAAGAUACUGGAAAGACUCUCACUGACUUUAAUAAGAUCAGUCCCAGAAUGAUGAAGGAAGCAUUUUGUGAGGAUUAAUUCUUUUACUUCUAGAACUUUCCCCUCAGUAAGGAUUCCCUCUGAACACAGAGUUAAUGGACCAUUUUCUUCCUUCUAUAGCUUUAAAAAAGAUAACUUAAGAAAAGAUUAAUUUGGGAAUACUUGUGGAGUUACCUGAAAUUCUAACAAAUCAAUGAAGAACUUCAUUCUGUAUUAUCUCCUGUUCC